UUUUAUUGCAUCAUCUCAUCACAAAAGGUAGAAUUUUGAUACUACUUGCUUCACAGAAAAUGAAAAACUCCUCUGUCAUGCUUUUCAUCUCUCUUGCCAUGAUAUUGGCGAUUUCUGGUUAGUUCAUUCUUGCAAAAAAUAUUUUAAUCUCCUUAAUAUUUCCAUCAAUAUAGAUGAUUUAAAGUUACAUUAUGUGCAGGUUUAAGAUUGUCAAAUGGUUUAGCUGAAGGGAUAGUUGCUCGCGCUCCAUACCAUGCAGGGGCUCCAAACCAUAUAUUGAACGCAUACGAUUGCAGUAAAG
rnacentral:lncRNA from 1 species